AUAAUAUUUUUGAUGCAAAAGCAGUGGAGAAGUAGAUUUAGAUUAGUUUAUGCAGUAUUCAAGAAAAUCUGUCUCUCAUAAUGUUUCACAAUCAAUAAUGAUCUAUGUUUAUUUAGUGAAUAUGGCCAGAGGUUCUGGUAACACAUGCAUUAGCACCUAGUUAGCUUGAGAUGAUGUUAAGAUCACAGUGGGGAUGAUAGUAGCAACUUUCAGAAAAAAGCCAGUACUGUCCAUGUUAUGUUAUUAUUUGAGGCUAUAUAUGUAUGCAUUUACUUUCCCAUAAAUUCUCUAAUUUCUUACUGGAUCAUGAGAUAUCACUAGUUGAUAUCUUUACUGCCUGAACAACUGAUAUUUUUGGGACCAUUUUCCAUUUGGAGAUGUGAUUUUCGUUUUUGUUGGGCAAUAUUUUAUACUUUGGUAUUUUAUACUUGGGCAAUAUUUUUGGUAUGUAUUGAAUUGUUCCAGAUUUUUGAUCCAACUGAGGCCGACAACAUUUAAAGGAGGGAUUUGAGUCACUCUAGGCUUGAUUAGAGUGCUUUUAUGUACCAAUGGUUCUCAUUCUGUGCCAUGAAUAAGGUUCUUGAUUCUGGAUCUGAAAUCCUGGUCUAGAUUCCUAUAUAGGAUUCGCUGCAUUUAGGUUCUUCUCCCUUUUCUUGUCUUUAGGUAAAAUUAGGCUUAUGUGAUUACUAUCUCAAGAAUUUAAUUCGUUCUUGAAGGUUGGGAAGCAUGGUAUAAUCAUUGAAUUCACUGAUCCUGACUACAAUACUAGGCGAAGUGCCACUUACCUGCCUGAGGUGGCUGCUCAUGAAGGUUGGACAAAGACAGAAGCAAUUGAUUCACUGAUUCGAAAAGCGGGAUACAAUGGCUCCAUAACUGAAUCACUGCGAAAGCGCAUCCGACUUACCCGCUAUCAGAGUACAUUAUUCACUAUGCACUUCAGUGAUUAUGUUACUUAUGUCAAGACAACCCGAGGCUCUGCUCCUGCUAUCAAUGGGGUAAAAUCAGGCUAUUUCUGAUUGUGUGGUUGUACCUAAAAUUUAGACUACAAAUAGCAUUUGGUCGAUCUGGGGUGGUACCUUGUCCCCAAAAGAAUCGUCUGCUUGGUUGGGGCAAAUUUGUUGUCGUUCCAACCCGCUGCAGCCAUUGUUGCAAGUCGUAAUUUGUCCAAAUAAUUCUUCAAAUUCAUUUGAUUUUGAAGAAUGAACACCAAUAACUCCAUUUGGAUUUCAUUAGGCCGUGCUCAAUCCACAAGAUUUCCAAAAGCUUGUGGUGAAAUGGCUCCUGUUUAUGAACUCAGCUGUCUGUAACAAAGGUAUCCGAUUUCAAAUCUC